rnacentral:lncRNA from 1 species
AUGGUGGUACCAAGAUGUGCAGAUAACCAUUUUCCACCUAAAUUUCCUGGUCUUCAGAAUGUUUCCCGCAUAAGGGUAUCACACACAUUCCCUUUUCCUGCCUCACUUCAUAAAAAGUCCCUCCAGUCGGCUGCCCUCAGCUUCCAUACUUGUCCUGUGCCUUUCCUAAACUGGGUUCCAUUUUGCUUUUCCCCAGACCACGCUCUUCCACGUUCUCCUGAACUCAAUCUUCAUAUGUUAAUAAAGACUAAAAUAGAUGCUAGAGUACUCCUUGUAGCAGAAAGCAACAGAAAAACAGUACUUUCUUUCUUAACCCAUUCCACAGGCUCUGUACUUCAUACAGCAAGAAAAAGAGCAUCAAAUUAUGUCUCUCACUAUGCAGAAAACCUUCAGUGCAUGGGCUAACUAACCUUGCAUUCAAAAAUUUUCUUUCACCUUGGACUUCAUCCUUCUUCCACUGAACUGUGACUUUUAAUCAGUGGAUCAUAUGGAGUUUUGUUUUUAUUUCUUGGCAGUCAUAGUAGGGGGUGUUAAAAGGUAUGUGAUUUGGGAAAACACCAGUAAAAUCUUUCUAGUACAGACCGUAAGCUAACAAAAAUAAAAACACUUAUGAUUUGGGUCCCUAUUUCCCA